UAUAUGUUUUAUUUUUUUAUGUUGAAACACCCACUUUGUUUAAACCUAUACCCGUUUUACACCGUAUAGGUUGCGGUCAGUUUUUGCCUAACCAGACCUGACACGCUGUCCAAAUCAGUGGGAUCACUUUGACCCAUUAUCUAGGAUGGAACCCUAGGUACUUUAACAAACCUUCUAUUCAACCCCCCCGUUACCCCAUGGAUUUACCCAUCCAGUCGCAGAGUCUGCAGAUACCUGUCACCAUAACGGAGGUGCCACUCAUCAGUUAGUGCACACACAAACC